rnacentral:misc_RNA from 1 species
UAUGAAGAACGUAGCGAAAUGCGAUAAGUAAUGCGAAUUGCAGAAUUCAGUGAAUCAUCGAAUCUUUGAACGCACAUUGCGCCCGCUAGUAUUCUGGCGGGCAUGCCUGUCUGAGCGUCAUUUCAACCCUCGCCCCCGGCUUUUGCUGGGAGCGGUGUUGGGGAUCGGCCGCCCGUCACUGGGAGGCCGGCCCCGAAAUAGAGUGGCGACCACGCCGUGUGCUCCUCUGCGUAGUAGUAAAUCACCUCGCAGGCGGACAGCGGUGCGGCCUGCCGUAAAACCCCCAACUCUUUCUGGUUGACCUCAGAUCAGGUAGGAAUACCCGCUGAACUUAAGCAUAUCAAUAAGCGGAGA